CCGAGCAAAAACAAGGUACAUGACCUUCUUUCUUUUCCAAACCAGAUAAUGAACCUGAAAUUGUCUCCAAAUUCUCUCAUGAACCAGAGCAAGAAGUCAUCGUGGGCUCUGAUUCCUCCAUCGAAGUGGAAGAAGGCACAGCGGGGUCUGAAAUAAUUUCUGAAUCAGCCCAAUACAAUCUUCUUUUGGGUGUUCUUUGGUCAUGUGAAGAGUCAUCACCAUCGUUUUGGGGCUUUAGAGGUCUUUCCCUUUUGUUCUUUGGGGAAUAAAUUGAAUCCUCCAUGGAUGGAACUGGGGUUAAUCAAAACAUCACAGCAGAGAAACCAAAGAAAGUAAGAAAGAAAAGUAAUUAAGAUUCAGAGAGAGAACAGAGCACAGGAAAAUGGUGGAAAUUGGAAAAUGGCACUAAGAAAAAGAUUGUAGAAAAUGCUUUGAGAGAGAAAGAAAGAGAGAGAGUGGAGUUUUGUAUAAUGCAAUCACAGAGAGAGAGUGACGAAAUUUGUUAACAACUGGAUUAUGAAG
rnacentral:lncRNA from 1 species